rnacentral:misc_RNA from 1 species
GAGAGAGAGAGAGAGAGAGAGGAGAUGGCGGAGAGUAAAAAGAGGCUGGUCUGAGACAUCUGCCACCACUUGUCGUUUUUUAGACCAAAUCAAUCCACUCACCUUCCCCUCAGCCUGGCUCCUCCAUUUUUGGAAUCAAACACAGAAAAAAAAACUGUAAAAUAACAAUAUCCACUCAAUAUUCAACCACACUCUCUCUGCUCUUGCAUUUAUCCUUUUUAAGGUAACAAGCGAUACCCCAGUCACAACCUUCCUCUUCCUGUAAUGGCGGAGACCUUCGACGUUCCUUUUUCUUGUUACCCAUUAUUAUAUACUUAACCUCCUUUUCAUUUGUCUCUGUGUUCAUCUCCUCACUUUUCUACAAUUUAUUUUUUCCGAUUUCUUUUAAUAUUUUUAUUAUGUACACUAGUACAAGCGCCGAGGACUCUCAUGUCUAGUUGUUUACUUUCUACUAUUAUUUUACUUGGAGAGUGAGAAGCAGUCUGAAGCUCAGGGUCACCUUCUUCAUCAGGGGGUCGUUUACAGAUAAAAAUGGCAAAGGAGUACAUUGCAUCACCUAAGCAUCAUCAGCUUGAAUCCAAGAGGAAGCGUCUAACUUGGAUCUUGGGGGUCAGCGGCCUCUGCAUAUUGUUUUACACUUUGGGAGCUUGGCAGAAUACCACCGCUCCCAUCAAUCGAUCUGAGGUCUAUAAUAGAGUAGGUUGUGAAGUUGCAACACCUGGAGCAGCAAAUGAUAAUCCAUCAUCAUCGGUUGUCUUGGACUUCAAUACCCAUCAUCAGAUUGAGAUAAACAAUACUGACUCGGUUGCUAAUUUUCGACCAUGUGAUAUGUCCUACAGUGAGUACACUCCCUGUCAACAUCCACCGAGAGGAAGAAAAUUUGACAGGAACAUGUUGAAAUACAGAGAGAGGCAUUGCCCUACAAAGGAAGAGCUUUUCUUUUGCCUGAUACCUGCUCCACCAAAAUAUAAGACCCCCUUCAAAUGGCCUCAGAGCCGUGACUAUGCUUGGUAUGACAAUAUCCCCCACAGAGAGCUCAGUAUUGAGAAGGCUGUGCAGAAUUGGAUUCAAGUAGAGGGUGACCGCUUCAGAUUCCCUGGGGGAGGCACCAUGUUCCCUCGUGGAGCUGAUGCAUACAUUGAUGACAUAAAUGAGCUUAUUCCUCUUACUGGUGGAACCAUCAGAACUGCAAUUGACACAGGCUGCGGUGUGAGUUUUCCUCCCUAGAUGUUUAUAAAAUUAUCAUGAUGGUUUAAGAAUUUAGUAGUGUUGCGCUAUUCUGAUUUUUCUGUGGUGUCAAGGUCGCAAGUUGGGGUGCCUACCUGUUGAAACGGGACAUUCUGGCUAUGUCUUUUGCACCACGGGAUACACAUGAAGCACAGGUCCAGUUUGCACUGGAGAGGGGAGUUCCUGCUAUGAUUGGCAUCAUGGCUUCGCAAAGGCUUCCUUACCCAGCAAGGGCUUUUGAUAUGGCUCACUGUUCCCGUUGCUUGAUACCUUGGCAUGAUUAUGAUGGUCUGUAUCUAAUUGAAGUGGACAGAGUCUUAAGGCCUGGUGGUUAUUGGAUUCUCUCGGGCCCUCCUAUUAACUGGAAGAAAUACUGGAGAGGUUGGGAAAGAACCCAAGAAGAUUUAAAGCAAGAGCAGGAUGCUAUCGAGGAUGUAGCCAGGCGGUUGUGCUGGAAGAAAGUGAUUGAAAAGAACGAUCUUGCCGUUUGGCAAAAGCCCAUCAACCACUUGGAGUGCAUUAGAAGCAGGAAGGUGUAUAAAACACCACACAUAUGCAAAUCAGACAACCCAGAUGUUGCAUGGUACAAGGAAAUGGAAGCCUGCAUAACCCCACUUCCAGAGGUGAGUAGCUCUGAUGAAGUUGCUGGUGGUGCAUUGGAGAAAUGGCCAGAGCGUGUAUUUGCCAUUCCUCCCAGAAUUCGCAGCGGUUCGAUACCAGGUAUCUCUGCAGAGAAAUUCAAGCGGGAUAAUGAACUGUGGAAGGACAGGGUGACACAUUAUAAGCAAAUUAUCAGGCCCCUGACCCAAGGGCGAUAUCGGAAUGUGAUGGAUAUGAAUGCUUACCUCGGUGGAUUUGCUGCUGCCCUGUUGAAAUAUCCAGUGUGGGUUAUGAACGUGGUACCUGCCAACUCGGAUCGUGACACACUGGGUGUGAUCUUCGAGCGAGGGUUGAUUGGGACCUAUCAGGAUUGGUGUGAGGCAGUGUCGACGUAUCCAAGAACAUAUGAUCUCAUCCAUGCCAGUGGAGUGUUCAGCAUAUAUCAGGACAGGUGUGACAUUACAUACAUCCUGCUGGAGAUUGAUAGAAUUCUGAGGCCGGAAGGGACAGUUAUAUUCAGGGACACGGUAGAGAUCCUCGUGAAGAUUCAGAGCAUAACAAACGGGAUGAAAUGGAAAAGCCAGAUUAUGGACCAUGAAAGUGGACCAUUUAAUCCAGAGAAAAUUCUUGUUGCCAUCAAAACUUACUGGACUGGUGAUACUUCUCAAAAACAACUGUAGUAGUUCUCUUUCUUUUCUUGGGAAUCAUUAAUUUUGUCCAACUUCAAUCAGAUUUUGCUCAAUAGUACAUACAUUUUCCUGUGAACGAGAAAAAGAAUAGGUUUGCCAAGUCCUGUACUUUAUUUAUUUAAGGAUGAAUUAUUUUUUUUGUUCAUGUGUUAUAUCAUAUAGUCACUACUUGAGUCAUUAUAUUUUGAAAAAUAGAUGAAAACAUAUUUAAGUCUUGGUUUCA